rnacentral:rRNA from 1 species
GUGCCAGCCGCCGCGGUAAUACGAGUGGUGCAAGCGUUAUUCGGAAUCAUUGGGCGUAAAGGGUGUGUAGACGGUAUGUUAAGUCAACUGUUAAAUUCUCCGGCCUAACCGGAGGUCAGCAGUAGAAACUGGCGUGCUAGAGGGUGGAAGAGAGAAGUGGAAUUCUCGGAGUAGCGGUAAAAUGCGUAGAUCUCGAGAGGAACACCAAUGGCGAAGGCAGCUUCUUGGUCCAUUUCUGACGUUGAAACACGAAAGCGUGGGGAGCAAACAGGAUUAGAUACCCGUGUAGUCC